rnacentral:rRNA from 1 species
AUUGAACGCUGGCGGCAUGCUUUACACAUGCAAGUCGAACGGUAACAGGCCGCAAGGUGCUGACGAGUGGCGAACGGGUGAGUAAUGCAUCGGAACGCGCCCAGUCGUGGGGGAUAACGCAGCGAAAGCUGCGCUAAUACCGCAUACGAUCUCUGGAUGAAAGCGGGGGACCGAACGGCCUCGUGCGCUUGGCGCGGCCCGUGGCAGAUUAGGUAGUUGGUGGGGUAAAGGCUCACCAAGCCAACGAUCUGUAGCUGGUCUGAGAGGACGACCAGCCACACUGGGACUGAGACACGGCCCAGACUCCUACGGGAGGCAGCAGUGGGGAAUUUUGGACAAUGGGCGCAAGCCUGAUCCAGCAAUGCCGCGUGCAGGAAGAAGGCCUUCGGGUUGUAAACUGCUUUUGUACGGAACGAAACGGUCCUGGUUAAUACCUGGGGCUAAUGACGGUACCGUAAGAAUAAGCACCGGCUAACUACGUGCCAGCCGCCGCCGUAACAC